rnacentral:lncRNA from 1 species
AUCCAAUUACUCUGUAGUAACUAAUAACCGAAUACACACUUAUGUUUAAGAAGUUAUUUCCAUACAAUAAUAAUAUUUUUAUAUUCGACAUAUAUUUUAUUUUUAAUGAUUAUAUAUGUUAUUUUACUGAUUUCAUUUAAUCUAAAAUUUUUAUAAAGAAGAGAUAAUUUUACAUACCUUUUGACCUACUAAAUAUUUAACUAAAUUACAUUAUACGUAUUAUAAAUCAUGUAUACUAGUUUCAACUAUGUUACAUAAUAUUUAUUAUUGAUAAUUUAUAUUUGGCUAAAGACUGAUUGAUGAUGACAAUGAGUAGAUAUUUAAUAUUUAAGAGAGAAUAGCCCAACAAAUAUAGAAUGGUAGAGUAAAUUGUAUAAGAUAUUUAUUUUUCUUAUUAAUUUUAUUAAUAACCUUAUUGUCAAUAAUUUCUUAAACUAAUAUAUUAUGUAUGUUGAUUUGCUUUUAUUUUCUGAUACUGAGGAUUUUUUUCUCAAAUAUUAUUGAUAAUUUUUAUAUUGAUUAGUAUUAUUAUUUAAAUUUUAAAAUUAUAUAGGUAUGUAAUUACAAUUUAUAUACCGGAUAUGACAUUGAGAAUUAUAAUUUAAUUAUAUUUUGUUAGUGUAAUACCCAAUUUUUUCCCGACCCAUAAUAAACUAAUAAAAUAAAAAAUAAAAGUCUAGUUUUUUUACAAACCCAAAUAAUAAUAAAUCCAAUAUUACAUUCAGCCUACAAAUCCAACUAGCCCAAAUACCCACUAAACCCAAUUAACUCAAGCCCAAACCUAAUCCAAAACCCAAAUUUGCCUAAGCCCAAAUAUCAGAAUCCAUACCCAAAUACGUAGCCCAAAUCAUUUUAACUUAAACUACCCAAAACUAACCCGAUUUGGCCCAACAAGCCCAAACCCAGAUAACCCUAAGCAGUUUCUAGAAACCCUAGCCUGUUGCCCCAACGCCGCAGCAGCUCCAACCCCUCACACGUGCGCCCCCUCCGUUGCGCCUCCGUGCGUGUGCUCCAGCUGGCUACAGACGCAACAAACAAGCAAGCAAAGCAAGGCAAUAACAUAAAAGAAAAAAUGAGAAUAGCAGCAGUGAUAAAAUAACAAAAAUAAUAAUUUCUGUAAUUUUUUUUUGUUUUAUUCGGCUAUAUAAAGCCGAUUGAUUCAUUUGUAAAGGGAUCUUUUUUACGCAUACAAAAAUAAAAAAUAUUCAGAGAAAUCGAAACAAAAAGAUUUGAAAGGUGAUUACUGAUCUAUUUUUCCUUUUUUUUUUCCUUUUUUUUUUGGAUUUUUUAUCUCAUUAUUCGUGUGCAAAAUAAAAGAAAAAGAGGAGUUAAAGGGUGAGAGUUUACCUGGCUUGCCAGAUUGUCACUCGCUUCGUCGCAAUCGGAGCCGGGCGAUGGUUCGAAAGCCUCCGAACAACCAUUGUCGAACGGCACUGAGGACUAUUAGGGUUCUUUAGGUUUUUUUAGAAAAGUGAUAGGAGGCUGUUAGCUUAGGUUUUAUUUUAGUUUAUAUACUAUGAAGGAAACGGCACCGUUUUAAGCAUGCUUCAGUAGCUUUAAAAACGACGCCGUUUAGAAGCUCAGACCCGUGCGGUGACCCGACCUAGGGCAGGAUCCGUGCAAUUUGGUUCAAGGGUUUAUUUGCGCC